AGACCAGACUCCUACGGGAGGCAGCAGUGGGGAAUAUUGCACAAUGGGGGAAACCCUGAUGCAGCGACGCCGCGUGAGUGAAGAAGUAUUUCGGUAUGUAAAGCUCUAUCAGCAGGGAAGAUAAUGACGGUACCUGACUAAGAAGCCCCGGCUAACUACGUGCCAGCAGCCGCGGUAAUACGUAGGGGGCAAGCGUUAUCCGGAUUUACUGGGUGUAAAGGGUGCGUAGGUGGCAUGGCAAGUCAGAAGUGAAAGCCCGGGGCUCAACCCCGCGGACUGCUUUUGAAACUGUCAGGCUGGAGUACAGGAGAGGUAAGCGGAAUUCCUAGUGUAGCGGUGAAAUGCGUAGAUAUUAGGAGGAACACCAGUGGCGAAGGCGGCCUGCUGGACUGUAACUGACACUGAGGCUCGAAAGCGUGGGGAGCAAACAGGAUUAGAUACCCCGGUAAG
rnacentral:rRNA from 1 species